CGACCAGGGCUACACACGUGCUACAAUGGCGCAUACAAAGAGAAGCGACCUCGCGAGAGCAAGCGGACCUCAUAAAGUGCGUCGUAGUCCGGAUUGGAGUCUGCAACUCGACUCCAUGAAGUCGGAAUCGCUAGUAAUCGUGGAUCAGAAUGCCACGGUGAAUACGUUCCCGGGCCUUGUACACACCGCCCGUCACACCAUGGGAGUGGGUUGCAAAAGAAGUAGGUAGCUUAACCUUCGGGAGGGCGCUUACCACUUUGUGAUUCAUGACUGGGGUGAAGUCGUAACAAGGUAACCGUAGGGGAACCUGCGGUUGGAUCACCUCCUU
rnacentral:rRNA from 1 species